AUGCAUCCUAUUUAUGAUGAUUACAAUGAUGAAUAUGGGUUUGGAAGAGUGUCAACUCUAGGUAACGAUCCCACUAUUUUGGAGGGUGUUGAAUCUUAUCACAAUGAUGAGAGUGGAUUUGUAGAGGUCAUGGCUUUAUUUAGUGAUGAAUCCACCAUCUUGAAUGAGGCUUCAAUCGACUAUGAUAGUAAAGUUCCUAUCUAUGAUGGUUAUGGUGAUGAUAUGUAUGCUACAAAGAGUAAUGAUAACCAUGAAACUUGUCAUCAUGAUUUUAAUUUUCAAUCACAUGAUAGUUAUUUUGUUGAGUUUGCUCUACUAUUAAUGAGAAUAAAUUUUCUUGUGUGGAGAGUAAUAAAUUUUCUAUGCUUAUGGAUCAUGAAAAGAAUGAUUUAUGUGAUAGCUAUAUUGUUGAAUUCAUUCAUGAUGCCACUGAAAAUUAUUAUGAGGGAGGAACAUAUGCUUGUAGGAAUUGCAAUAAUAUCAAGUUUCCUCUCUUUAUGUUGA
rnacentral:rRNA from 1 species